GAUGAACGCUGGCGGCGUGCCUAAUACAUGCAAGUCGAGCGAACGGACGAGAAGCUUGCUUCUCUGAUGUUAGCGGCGGACGGGUGAGUAACACGUGGAUAACCUACCUAUAAGACUGGGAUAACUUCGGGAAACCGUAGCUAAUACCGGAUAAUAUUUUGAACCGCAUGGUUCAAAAGUGAAAGACGGUCUUGCUGUCACUUAUAGAUGGAUCCGCGCUGCAUUAGCUAGUUGGUAAGGUAACGGCUUACCAAGGCAACGAUGCAUAGCCGACCUGAGAGGGUGAUCGGCCACACGGGAACGGAGACACGGUCCAGACUCCUACGGGAGGCAGCAGUAGGGAAUCUUCCGCAAUGGGCGAAAGCCUGACGGAGCAACGCCGCGUGAGUGAUGAAGGUCUUCGGAGCGUAAAACUCGGUUAUUAGGGAAGAACAUAUGUGUAAGUAACUGUGCACAUCUUGACGGUACCUAAUCAGAAAGCCACGGCUAACUACGUG
rnacentral:rRNA from 1 species